GGCCCUGUAGCUCAGUUGGUUAGAGCGCGUGCUUCACAUGAAGCCUAGAUCGCACGAGGCCCCUGGUUCGAGCCCAGGCAGAGUCA